GAUGAAGAACGUAGCGAAAUGCGAUACGUAAUGUGAAUUGCAGAAUUCUGUGAAUCAUCGAAUCUUUGAACGCAUAUUGCGCUCUCUGGUAUUCCGGAGAGCAUGCUUGUUUGAGUAUCAGUAAACACCUCAACUUCCAUAUCUUUUUUGAAAUGGGAGUUGGACUUGAGUGAUCCCAACGCUUUUCCUCACCGAAAAGUGGCGGGUUACUUGAAAUGCAGGUGCAGCUGGACUUUUCUCUGAGCUAUAAGCAUAUCUAUUUAGUCUGCCUAAAAAACAGAUUAUUACCUUUGCUGCAGCUAACAUAAAGGAGAUUAGUUCUUGUGCUGACUGAUGCAGGAUUCACAAAGACGGCUUCGGCCGACUUUGUAAACUCGAUCUCAAAUCAAGUAAGACUACCCGCUGAACUUAAGCAUAUCAAUAAGCGGAGGA
rnacentral:misc_RNA from 1 species